ensembl:lncRNA
AGAGACAGAGGGUUAGAGACAGAGAGGGUUAGAGACAGAGAGGGUUAGAGUCAGAGAGGGUUAGAGUCAGAGAGGGUUAGAGACAGAGAGGGUUAGAGACAGAGAGGGUUAGAGACAGAGAGGGUUAGAGUCAGAGAGGGUUAGAGUCAGAGCGGGUUAGAGUCAGAGAGGGUUAGAGACAGAGAGGGUUAGAGACAGAGAGGGUUAGGGUAAGACAGAGAGGGUUAGAGACAGAGAGGGUUAGGGUAAGACAGAGAGGGUUAGAGACAGAGAGGGUUAGGGUAAGACAGAGAGGGUUAGAGACAGAGAGGGUUAGAGUCAGAAAGGGUUAGAGACAGAGAGGUUUAGAGACAGAGAGGGUUAGAGACAGAGAGGGUUAGGGUAAGACAGAGAGGGUUAGGGUAAGACAGAGAGGGUUAGGGUAAGACAGAGAGGGUUAGAGACAGAGAGGGUUAGAGACAGAGAGGGUUAGAGUCAGAGAGGGUUAGAGACAGAGAGGGUUAGGGUAAGACAGAGAGGGUUAGAGACAGAGAGGGUUAGGGUAAGACAGAGAGGGUUAGAGACAGAGAGGGUUAGGGUAAGACAGAGAGGGUUAGAGACAGAGAGGGUUAGAGUCAGAGAGGGUUAGAGACAGAGGGGGUUAGAGACAGAGAGGGUUAGAGACAGAGAGGGUUAGAGACAGAGAGGGUUAGAGACAGAGAGGGUUAGAGUCAGAGAGGGUUAGAGACAGAGAGGGUUAGAGACGGAGAGGGUUAGAGUCAGAGAGGGUUAGAGACAGAGAGGGUUAGAGACAGAGAGGGUUAGAGACAGAGAGGGUUAGAGUCAGAGAGGGUUAGGGUAAGACAGAGAGGGUUAGGGUAAGACAGAGAGGGUUAGAGACAGAGAGGGUUAGAGACAGAGAGGGUUAGGGUAAGACAGAGAGGGUUAGGGUAAGACAGAGAGGGUUAGGGUAAGACAGAGAGGGUUAGGGUAAGACAGAGAGGGUUAGAGUCAGAGAGGGUUAGAGACAGAGAGGGUUAGGGUAAGACAGAGAGGGUUAGACACAGAGAGGGUUAGGGUAAGACAGAGAGGGUUAGGGUAAGACAGAGAGGGUUAGGGUAAGACAGAGAGGGUUAGGGUAAGACAGAGAGGGUUAGAGACAGAGAGGGUUAGAGUCAGAGAGGGUUAGAGUCAGAGAGGGUUAGAGACAGAGAGGGUUAGAGACAGAGGGUUAGAGACAGAGAGGGUUAGAGACAGAGAGGGUUAGAGACAGAGAGGGUUAGAGUCAGAGCGGGUUAGAGACAGAGAGGGUUAGAGACAGAGAGGGUUAGAGACAGAGAGGGUUAGAGACAGAGAGGGUUAGGGUAAGACAGAGAGGGUUAGAGACAGAGAGGGUUAGAGACAGAGAGGGUUAGAGUCAGAGAGGGUUAGAGAGAGAGGGUUAGAGACAGAGAGGGUUAGAGACAGAGAGGGUUAGAGACAGAGAGGGUUAGAGACAGAGAGGGUUAGAGUCAGAGAGGGUUAGAGACAGAGAGGGUUAGAGACGGAGAGGGUUAGAGACAGAGAGGGUUAGAGACAGAGAGGGUUAGAGACAGAGAGGGUUAGAGUCAGAGAGGGUUAGGGUAAGACAGAGAGGGUUAGGGUAAGACAGAGAGGGUUAGAGACAGAGAGGGUUAGAGACAGAAAGGGUUAGAGACAGAGAGGGUUAGGGUAAGACAGAGAGGGUUAGGGUAAGACAGAGAGGGUUAGGGUAAGACAGAGAGGGUUAGGGUAAGACAGAGAGGGUUAGAGAGAGAGAGGGUUAGGGUAAGACAGAGAGGGUUAGAGACAGAGAGGGUUAGGGUAAGACAGAGAGGGUUAGAGAGAGAGGGUUAGGGUAAGACAGAGAGGGUUAGAGUUGGAGAGGGUUAGGGUAAGACAUAGAGGGUUAGGGUAAGACAGAGAGGGUUAGGGUAAGACAGAGAGGGUUAGGGUAAAACAGAGAGGGUUAGAGACAGAGAGGGUUAGAGUCAGAGAGGGUUAGAGUCAGAGAGGGUUAGAGACAGAGAGGGUUAGAGACAGAGAGGGUUAGAGACAGAGAGGGUUAGAGACAGAGAGGGUUAGAGACAGAGAGGGUUAGAGACAGAGAGGGUUAGAGACAGAGAGGGUUAGGGU